ACAGGGGACAUAUAUUUGUAAGAAGGGUUCUCUCAACUUAUCAAAACAGCACCAGGGGACGACUAAUGAAUCAAAGCAUAAACCUACAUGUCUCUUCCAAAUUGAAUAAGAAACAAUUCAAUUAGAGGGAUACAAGAAUACCUGGCUGUGGAGAUUUUGAAUUGAGAUAUAUAUGUAGGAAUUUCUGAAUCUGUGUUGAACUUCUUUUCAAUUCAGAGCUCUAAAAAUUGAGGCAAAUCUGUAAAAGAGAGGAAGGUAGCUGGAAGAUUGGAUGAAAGUUCCCACAUUUGAGUUCAAAUCCCGGUGAGACCCAAAAAAAAAAAAAAAAUGGAAGGUGAAGAUAUCAAUUGCAAUUCAAUAAGCAUAACUGUGAAGUUCAGCGGACGAUCCAUACCAAUCUCUGUUUCUCUGGACUCAACGAUCAAAGACUUCAAAUCUCUUCUUCAACCUCUCACCAAUGUUCUUCCUCGUGGCCAAAAGCUCAUCUUCAAAGGAAAGUUGUUGGUGGACUCCAUGACUUUGAAGGAAUCGGAGGUCACAAAUGGGGCUAAGGUCAUGCUCAUGUCCUCCCAGGGAUUGCAUCAAGGGGAUGGUCCCAUUUUAAAAGAUGCUAAAACCCGUCCCAUCUCAAGGGCUAAUCUUGCUAACAAAAUGGUGAAUCAAAAGACUGAAUUUUCUAUAGAUAAGAACUGUUUGGAUCGAUGGAAAGUCACAGGAGUUAUUGCUUUGGCUGAAUGCAACUUGAAGGUACAAAACUCUAUCAUUACUAUAAUACAUCCAGUGCACAUGUUUCAAGUUUCUUGUUUUCUUGAUGUUAUUGUGCUGUUCAUGGUAUAAGCACCAUGUCUUGCAGAAUUUUCCCCCUUUUUUCACUUCUUUUUAAAAUUAGAUAUUGUCCAUACAAACUCUUGCAUUCAUGUCCGCUGGGGCAAUUAAUGUCAUCUAUUUGUUCUUGUUUAUUGGAACUUGCAAGGUGCUACCUGAUCAAGUGUGGGCUUGUGGACCUUCUACAAGAGUCCUUGACAUCAGCAACAAUUUGAUUCAAGAUUUACCAACCAAAAUUGGCUGUAUGAGUUCUCUGCAGAAACUGUUCCUGAAUGGAAAUAGCAUGUCAGAUGAAUCUAUUUAUUGGGAAGGCCUAACAUCUCUAAAGCAUCUAACAGUUCUAUCUUUGAGCCAAAACCAUUUAACGGUGUUGCCUUCUGAAUUGGGUGCUCUGAGUUCCUUGAAGCAUCUUAGUAUCUCAAACAACAAGUUGAAUUGCCUCCCAGUUGAAAUUGGACUCCUCAUUCAGCUGGAGGUUUUGAAAGCCAACAAUAACAGGUAUUGCUUAGAUAAAGUUUAUAGAUGAAUAUUUGUUGUAAGAAUUACUCUUAAAUGGAAGAUUGUUCAAGAAAGUGAUUUGAGACGUAGAAUGGGUACUCCAGAAUAUACCAAGACUAUUACUUAGGAAAUAAGUAAUUGCUAGUGAAAUUGUUUCUACUCUCUUUGGUUCUCCUCUGGUGCCUGCUUUAUUUCUGGUAGGAAUAUUUUAGCAGUCUAUGAUCUACUCAUUGCUGUGACUCAGGAUGUGCACCAUUCCAACAUCUAUAGGGGAGUGUAAUUCCCUUGUUGAGGUAAGAUUCUUACUGAAUUUUUUCAUCUUUCCCCUCUUCAAAGUCUAUUUUUGAAUUGAUAAUUUCUCCAAUAAAAGUGAAUGAUUCCGCUAUUAUUUGCCAAUCUGGGUGUAAGUUUUAUUUCGCCUUGUUUUUUUAAGUUUUAUUUCGCCUCGUUUUUUCCCCUUCCUGUUAUGCAGCAUAUUUAUUAAUGUCCUUUACCAAUCCUUUUGUGGUAUAGGUUAAUCUUUCAUCAAAUCUUCUGACAGAAUUGCCGGAGUCAUUUGGCAAUUUGCAUAAUUUGAAGGUCUCUACUUUAUUUCUCUAUUUGAUGUUCCUAUACCGAAGUUAAAAAUAAUACUCCAACUGGUAACCAUACAACCAAGUAAGAGAUUGAUGAUAGCAAAGAGAUUGAUGAUAGCAACUUUAGGAAUUCCUUUAUAUAGACAUUUCAAUUUUCAACUUGCUAGAGACAGGUCAGCAAGGAAAAACAUUCGUACUUUUCCAACUAGUGAUACGGUUGUUGCUCUUCUCUUACUCCUGUGCAGGCUUUGUACCUAGGUAAUAAUGGGUUAAAGUCUCUUCCUUCUGGAUUAUUCAAGAUGUGCCUGCAACUCUCAACACUUGAUCUCCAUAACGCAGAAAUCACGAUGGAUAUUCUUCGUCAGUUUGAAGGAUGGGAAGAUUUUGAUGAACGCCGUCGCUCAAAGCAUCAGAAGCAACUGGAUUUCCGAGUUGUGGGCUCUGCUGAAUUUGAUGAAGGUGCUGAUAAAAAUUGAUGAUCUGGUUCUGGGGUUACAUUUGGCACUAGAACAAAUUAUUGGCUCAAGAUUGUUUUCUUAUACAUGGCACAAUUUUGUUCUAGAUCCUGAUGUAAAUUGAUUAUGCUUUGAUUGAGUUGCGAGUAGCGUGUAUGCUGAUGGUGUCCAAUUACCCGAAUUGUUCAAGUCACAUUGUUUAGCAAUAUGUGACUAAUUUCUUGUCACUGUCUCUCCGAUUUUACUAACCUUCUCUAGACUUCAUCAAUCUAGACUUUGGUCUAUCAUGAUUCAAGACACAGAUAUGUGAGUAUUAUGCUUUUUACAUAUGGACAUGUUUGUGUCUUAAGUUUAGAUAAAAAUUUUUCAUAUUUUUGGUCCAAUCCUUAACCUGAGGGAGCAGUAUCUAUUAUGGAGUUCCAGUGAAGGCACAAGUUAUCUUGAUGAACCUGAAGCAGUUAGCUCUUCCAGAGAAUCUAAGUUUUAUGAAAUUUUUCAUAAAUUUGCUGUGUGACCCAAACAUUACAGAGAUUAAUUUUCAGAAU
rnacentral:misc_RNA from 1 species